GUUGCAUGGAGGGAAGACACAGAGGGGUGAUGCUGCAAUGCAGAGUCAAGUCAGAGCAGCAGAGCUGUAGAGAAAAGAAUAGGCGUGCUACUUGUGAGCAUCACAUCGUCUCUUCAGAGACAUUAGGGCAAGUGUCUUACUAGAGGUCACAAAAGGGCAUUCCAACAUGGGUGGUUUUAUGAUCACUGGCAAGUAAGAGUCAGUCUUGAGCCCAGGCCAGUACUAGCCCAGGAGAUAACAAGCCAGAUAACAAAGAUAUGAAAGGGCAAUUCCUACCCAAAGACAAUAUGUGAGGCAGUGAGUGAUGCAAUGGGCAUUUUUCCAGGAAAGGAAAGACCACGGUGAGUCCUGGACUGUGCUUGAGCUGGGCUGUUCCUGAGAUGGAGAGGCUUGCACUGAAGAGGCCUGAAUGGAGCAGAGACACCUACCUUGCCUGAGCCUUGGGUGUGUUCAGCUUCCAGAAGGGACUUUGUGCUUCUCACUGCUGUGCAGUAUUCCACUGUCACCCCCAAAGCCUCAUGCACUCUGAGGUGAGGCUUGUGGAAGGUGGUUGGAUUGAGAGGACACUACAGCUGACUUAGUGUUAGGAGAUGGGCCCUGAUCAGAAGAGGAGUCAUUGUGAGUAUGACCUGGAAGUGUGUACCCCCCACCCCCCGCUCCUCCCUUCUCUCUGCUUCCUGGCCACUAUGAGGUGAACAGCUUGUCCUCUACCAUGUCUCUCCGUCACGCUGUCCUGCCUUGGAG
rnacentral:lncRNA from 1 species